rnacentral:rRNA from 1 species
UACGAAGGGGGCUAGCGCUGCUCGGAAUCACUGGGCGUAAAGGGUGCGUAGGCGGGUCUUUAAGUCAGGGGUGAAAUCCUGGAGCUCAACUCCAGAACUGCCUUUGAUACUGAGGAUCUUGAGUUCGGGAGAGGUGAGUGGAACUGCGAGUGUAGAGGUGAAAUUCGUAGAUAUUCGCAAGAACACCAGUGGCGAAGGCGGCUCACUGGCCCGAUACUGACGCUGAGGCACGAAAAGCGUGGGGGAGCAAACAGG